AUGCACAAGGUAGAGCUUGAGUCUCGCCUGGAAGGACUCACUGACGAGAUCAACUUCCUCAGGCAGCUGUGUGAAAAGGGGAUCCGUGAACUACAGUCCUAGAUCUCAAACAGGUCUGUGGUGCUGUCCAUGGACAACAGCCGCUCCCUGGAAUGGACAGCAUCAUGGCUGAGAUCAAGGCGCGGUACCAGGAGACUGGCAACCGCAGCCGGGCUGAGGCUGAGAGCAGGUACCAGAUCAAGUAUGAGGAACUGCAGACGCUGGCUGCGAAGCACGGGGAUGACCUGGGGCGUACAAAGACUGAGAUCUCCGAGAUGAACAUCAGCCGGAACAUCAACCGGCUCCAGGCUGAGAUUGAGGGCGGGCUUCCCUGGAGGCUGCCAUCGCAGACGCCAAGCAGCGUGGGUAGCUGGCCGUUGAGGAUGCCAACGCCAAGUUGUCCGAGCUGCAGGCUGCCCUGCAGCGGGCCAAGCAGGACGUGGUGCGGCAGCUGCGUGAGUACCAGGAGCUGAUGAACGUCAAGCUGGCCCUGGACAUCGAGAUCGCCACCUACAGGAAGCUGCUGGAGGGCAAGGAGAGCCGGCUGGAGUCUGGGAUGCAGAACGUGAGCACCCAUAGGAAGACCACCAGCGGCUAUGCAGGUGGUCUGAGCUCCGCCUAUGGCGGCCUCACAAGCCCCGGCCUCAGCUACGGCCUGGGUUCCAGCUUUGGCUCUGGUGCGGGCUCCGGCUCCUUCAGCCGCACCAGCUCCACCAGGGCCAUGGUUGUGAAGAAGAUCGAGACCCGGGAUGGGAAGCUGGUGUUCCAGUCCUCUGACAUCCUGCCCAAGGGAACAGCUGCGGCAGCCCCUCCCAGCGUGCCCCUCCUGUGGCUGCCCCAGAGCCCGGGAGGGAGGUUGCUGUGCAGGGGAGCACAGCGAACGGGAGGGAGGCUCACCUGA